rnacentral:rRNA from 1 species
AGGACGAACGCUGGCGGCGUGCUUAACACAUGCAAGUCGAGCGGUAAGGCUCCUUCGGGAGUACACGAGCGGCGAACGGGUGAGUAACACGUGAGCAAUCUGCCCUUCACUCUGGGAUAACCCUCGGAAACGAGAGCUAAUACCGGAUACGACCACUUCAGGCAUCUGAUGGUGGUGGAAAGUUCUGGCGGUGAAGGAUGAGCUCGCGGCCUAUCAGCUUGUUGGUGAGGUAAUGGCUCACCAAGGCUUCGACGGGUA